rnacentral:misc_RNA from 1 species
UUUAUAAAAACUCUUUGUUCACAAGAACAGUGCAAUAGCAACAAGAAAUCCAAAGAGAGUGGUAGAUGCCAUUAUCAAGAAAGAUAGCAUGAAGCAGUGAGUGCCGCUGCAUAAGUUCCUUUCACCUGAUGCUUCUUCGUCAUAAAUGUAUCCCACCACUCUAACAGAGAACAUAUAGGUUCCGAUAGGACUUGCUAUGGCAAUAGAGUGGAAA